rnacentral:rRNA from 1 species
UACGUAGGGGGCAAGCGUUGUCCGGAUUUAUUGGGCGUAAAGAGCGUGUAGGCGGCCAGACAGGUCCGUUGUGAAAACUCGAGGCUCAACCUCGAGACGCCGAUGGAAACCAUCUGACUAGAGUCCGGAAGAGGAGAGUGGAAUUCCUGGUGUAGCGGUGAAAUGCGCAGAUAUCAGGAAGAACACCCGUGGCUAAGGCGGCUCUCUAGUACGGUACUGACGCUGAGACGCGAAAGCGUGGGGAGCGAACAGG